rnacentral:rRNA from 1 species
GACAGAGGAUGCAAGCGUUAUCCGGAAUGAUUGGGCGUAAAGCGUCUGUAGGUGGCUUUUUAAGUCCGCCGUCAAUCCCAGGGCUCAACCCUGGACAGGCGGUGGAAACUACCAAGCUGGAGUACGGUAGGGGCAGAGGGAAUUUCCGGUGGAGCGGUGAAAUGCGUAGAUCUUGGAAAAGACCACCAAUGGCGAAGGCACUCUACUGGGCCAUUACUGACACUAAGAGACGAAAGCCUAGGGGAGCAAAUGGG